GAGCUGCUCCCGCUCCGUUAGGUCAGCCCCUCCUCAGCCCCCUGGGGCACUGAGUGCCAGACUCUACCACGGGGAGCCCAUUUCGGGGGGCUCCCUACCCCUAACUGCCCCCAACCCUGCGGGUGCUGCCUGGGCUUGGUCGUCUGGAGUCCUCCCCCUAAGGGAUUUGCAGCCCUUCUGUGCUUAGUAUUUGCAGCCCUUCUGUGCUUAGUUCUAGGAAACACGAGACAGGGUGUCCUUGGAGUGGAACAAAGUGUGAGGACUAGAGUUCAGCAUGAGCCUCUCGUCCGGCUCGUGGGACAUGGGAAGCCUGCCUCGCCCAGGUCAGCCUGCCCUCUGCAGCAGGUUAGGAGCUAGGACACCAUGACCUGGGGUGGGGGCUCUCUGCACCCUGGCUGACGAGGUUGACCAGAGAGGGGUCAGAGGUGAGCCUGAGUUUUGAGGCUGGAUGUUGGGGUCCCUUUUGCUCCUGUCCUGUCCCAUGGGAGCUGCCUCCCCAGGGCAUGGCCUGACUGGUACCCUGGCCUUGGCAGGGAGGGCAGUGUCCGGCGGCUCCGGGUGCUAGCUGUCCAGCCCAGGGACAAGCUGGGGUAGGGGAGGCAAAGUGGGGCUCUUUGCUGACAUCACCCUCGUUCUGUCCCCAAACAGCCUAGUUUCCCUUUAAAAAUGACUAUUUAUGUAGCUCCUAUUUAAGAGUUAUCUAAAACCUUCUUGAACCUGGCUUUUGCCCCGGCCUUUGCCACCUCUUGGAGAGAAGGGAAGACUAUAAAUUGCAUCCCACUGUAGACAGUCGGGCUUCCUUUGAUUUGCUUGAAUUCCCCUAUGUUUGAGAGCUGUUUGAAGUAUCGGGAUUGGCGACAAAGGCUGCUGCCUCCCUUUCCGGGGCUCUCAAGGCCUUCACCCCAGAAUGGGAGACCAGCUCUGGUCCAGGCCUCCAGCAGCAGACCUGCUCAGCCCUUUGGAGGAGCCGGUCUCCACUCGCAGCCUGUCUCCUGACAUUCCCUCCAGGCACUGUGGCCAAUGCCUGUUGUGGGGAUUAACACUUGUUGCUUGCUUGCUUACCUGUGCUUCCUCUUUGGCACAUCCUGUCUUUAUUAUUAUUAAAUGGCUUUAUUUCUUCUGCCAUGACAAAGCCAUGUAACAACGCAUUUGGAAAAUAUCCUUCCUAAUCCAGUCACCCGACAGAACCAUGCUCACCUGCUGCACUUCCCUCUAGAAUUUCUCUCUGGGCAGAUGAGGUCUUGUUUAGUUUAGUUUUGUGUUUUAAGUUGAAGGUUAAUCCCUUCUAAUGCAGAUGCCAUUUCCAGACCUGUGGCUCCAGCCAUGGCUUGCACGGGGAAAAAAAAAAAAGAGUCACAGCUGCUAUUCAUAGCUGGAUGUUUAAAAUUAAGAGCAAGGAAGCUCGUGCUGGGAGCUGACUCUGGGCUUGAUGCCUUGAGGCAUAUCAGGUAAUUCCUGCCUGGAAGGAGCAUGCGCUCCAACUGAGGUGACAAGUUGCACCCAGGAAAAGGCUGGGUGAGCUCA
rnacentral:lncRNA from 1 species